UACGAGGGGGGCAAGCGUUGUUCGGAAUUAUUGGGCGUAAAGGGUGCGUAGGCGGUUUGGUAAGUCUUAUGUGAAAUCUACAGGCUCAACUUGUAGUCUGCAUGAGAAACUGCCGGGCUUGAGUAUGGAAGAGGUAAGUGGAAUUGCGAGUGUAGAGGUGAAAUUCGUAGAUAUUCGCAGGAACACCAGUGGCGAAGACGGCUUACUGGUCCAUAACUGACGCUGAGGUGCGAAAGCGUGGGGAGCAAACAGG
rnacentral:rRNA from 1 species